UACGUAGGGUGCGAGCGUUAAUCGGAAUUACUGGGCGUAAAGGGUGCGCAGGCGGUUGAGUAAGACAGAUGUGAAAUCCCCGAGCUUAACUCGGGAAUGGCAUAUGUGACUGCUCGACUAGAGUGUGUCAGAGGGAGGUGGAAUUCCACGUGUAGCAGUGAAAUGCGUAGAUAUGUGGAAGAACACCGAUGGCGAAGGCAGUCUCCUGGGACAUAACUGACGCUCAGGCACGAAAGCGUGGGGAGCAAACAGG
rnacentral:rRNA from 1 species